AUCAUCCUUAUCUUGGGGUUGCGUUAUUGCUCAAUGAACGUUUAGUGAGAGCAGUACUGCUAACACCUUAACAACACAUAAGCAUCCCUGGGGUAAAUACCCCAUUGAGGUGCAAUUUUUGGAACC
rnacentral:ncRNA from 1 species